rnacentral:lncRNA from 1 species
UGCGCCCGGGACUGCGCCGCGGCACUCACUGCUCCGUUUAUUUGUCUUUGGAGCAGGCGGGCCGCGCCAGAAGCGGGCGAUCCCGCAGUGUCCUGCAGCCGCGGACGCCGCCUGGCUAGGAUGACACCACGUUGAGCGCGCCUGCAAACAACAACAACAACAAGCGCCGCCGCGGCCACCGCGUCCACCGCGCCCUGCUCCUCCGAAGCGCCGCGCCGCCGCCGGUGCAGUCCGCCCGCGUCCCCGGCCGUCCGCAGCGCCCGGCCGCCGGUGUAUGCCGCGCCUGCCCGGGACGGGCUGAAGCCGGCGGCGGGCCGCACCGCAGGCGCCGAGCAGGGCCAGGGCGGCCAGGGCAGCCUCCUGCCGCCGAGCCCCGAGCGCCGCCGACCGCGGACGCGCUUUCGGCUGGGAGUCGCGGCCGCUGCCAGCAGUGUUCAUGUUUGGGAUUCAGGAGAAUAUUCCGCGCGGGGGGACGACCAUGAAGGAGGAGCCGCUGGGCAGCGGCAUGAACCCGGUGCGCUCGUGGAUGCACACGGCAGGCGUGGUGGACGCCAACACGGCCGCCCAGAGCGGCGUGGGGCUGGCGCGGGCGCACUUCGAGAAGCAGCCUCCUUCCAACCUCCGGAAAUCCAAUUUCUUCCACUUCGUGCUGGCGCUCUACGACAGGCAGGGGCAGCCGGUGGAGAUCGAAAGGACCGCUUUUGUGGACUUUGUGGAGAAAGAGAAAGAGCCGAAUAACGAGAAAACCAACAACGGCAUUCACUACAAGCUGCAGCUACUGUACAGCAAUGGCGUCAGGACAGAGCAAGAUCUGUAUGUCCGCCUCAUAGAUUCAAUGACCAAACAGGUGAGAAAGUUUCCGCCUCUCUACUCCUUGUAUUUUCCUUUCUGCUGAGCUGGGGUUGUCCUGGGGCCGAGAGAGCAGACUGACAAAUGGAUCUCCUGUAUUUGUUUUUCAUUUCGCUUCCCUGACAUGCUAAUGAGAAUUCCAUAUUUAUUGGAAUAAAUGGAGCGGUUGCUACAAGAGUUUAUGCUGUCAUUAAAACAGGACAUAUAUGCUUUAUUAAAUGACUUGCGAUUGGGAUCAAA